rnacentral:rRNA from 1 species
UACGUAGGGGGCAAGCGUUGUCCGGAAUUAUUGGGCGUAAAGAGCUUGUAGGCGGUUUGUCGCGUCUGCUGUGAAAUUUCGGGGCUCAACCCCGAACUUGCAGUGGGUACGGGCAGACUAGAGUGUGGUAGGGGAGACUGGAAUUCCUGGUGUAGCGGUGAAAUGCGCAGAUAUCAGGAGGAACACCGAUGGCGAAGGCGGCAUCCUGGACCAACACUGACGGCUGAGGAAGCGAAAGCCAGGGGAGCAAACAGG